ACUUCAAAGGAUUUGACAAGGAUGAGGAAGUUGCAAAAAUCAACAAGGCUGUGGUUGAGAUGGCAGACAGCUUUAACCUGGGCAUGGAUGAAGAUGACAUUAAGGAGCUCCUAGAAGUGGUUCCAGAGGAAUUGACUAAUGAGGAGUUGGAAUUUGAACAGG